GCUCACUCAUGAGUUUGAAAUGGUUCCUUUUUCCAUCAAGUUAAAAAGAAAAUAAAUUUUGACAAGAGAUAUGAAAUGAUGCAAGCUUGGCUUAGACUGCAUCUCUACUAUUUUGAUUGUGUUCUACUUUGAUUCAAUUCAGGGUACAACUUUGUAUUAGCAGGAUUGCUUGCUUCCCUUAAGUUAAUCAGAGGAACCUUAGCUGAUCACACAUUCUCCGUAAGUGAAAUUCUUACUUCUAUAUUUUGGUUAUUGAAGGCUGGAACUGGUAUAGCAGAGUUGAUAGCUUUUGAGAUUUCUAAGCAGGUAUAACUUGGUUUUAAUACUUAAUUGUUUAUUUCUAAACGUAUUCUUUUAUCUCAAGUAGUUAAAUUAAAUUCUAUCAUUUUGGCCACACAAAAGCCCCGGUCGAAGAGACUUGCAAGAAGAUUUGGAUUGUGGACUCCAAGCUUUUGUUAUCCCCUUUCUCCGUUAAGGCUUUUGUGCUGAAUCCGGUUUAGUAAGCAACUCGGUUCGGUUUGUUUUGAAUUCAUGCGUAGCUACUGGGCUUAUUCUUGGUUCUGCACUGCUGUCUAAUUGUUGCAGGUGCAGAGCAUUUGGUUUUCUCAUUGUGUCGAGUGCAAGGUUGAUUCGGUUUGGCUUUGGUUUGAUGCUUUCAAUUUUCUUAUGUACUUUAAUUGCCAGUUCUGUUCCAUCAUUUGUAUAGCAGGCUCCAAGGAACGGCUGCAGUAAACUAUAGAAUGUUGUUGUAAUGGGUAGAAAAUCAUGGGAGGCUCUCCCUCUUGAGAGCAGGCUUCUCAGUGGACGACUUAAUGUUGUUCUGACUUGCUCAGGCAGAGGGAAUUUUUGUGAGUCCGUAUGGUCUGAGGAAAGCCCUGGAGAAUGUAACUGUUCCAAACGGCAAUUCAUCGGAGGAUAAAUUAUCACUGGGCCAAGUUAACAAGUUCGAUAUUUUCUCUGUCCAACUCUUCAAAGAAUUUUGUAGUAAAUGGUAAUAUUAUAAGAUUUGUUAUAGACUUGAAUUAAGAAGCUUGAUGUCAAACACAGUAGAUACAAAGAACAGAUCAAGAAAGCAAGGUAUGGUCCUACUCUCGAAGCUAUUAAAUCUAGAGCCAUGCAAUUUCUUAAACAAAAGAGAAUGUAUGAAGGUCAACGCGACAUGUUGUACAAUCAGACAUUUAACCUCGAUCAAGUUUAAUUUGCUGCUGGGGGAAUUAAAGAUGCUCAACAAACUAUAAGGUUUCCACCAAGUCGAAGACAUUUAGGUCUCCGCAACGCAUGGCACACCGCAGAAUUAAGAAACUGUUGUCUUCUAAAUACUGGAAUGUCGCUCCAAAAUUGAAGUUAUGCCAACUGUCUAGAUCUGGUGCUGGCUGAAUCAGAUAUUAAACCAUGUUGGAUGACUGCUGAACCGAAAUAUUACGACUGUUGUACCGAAGGAUGCAGGGACUGAACCAAAUCAUACAGCUGCUGUACUUAAAGAUUUUCUGUAGAUUGAUUAAACACUUGAUUUCAAUGUUGAUGUUUCAACCUCUCUUCCCUUGAUGACUUAAAUUUCAGGAAAGAAGAAUUGUUACGAAUUUUGGAUCAAUUGCUAAGAGACAAGGAUGAUAUAAUUAUGGCUACACCUUAUACAGGUUCUAUUUUGGAUCAAUUACUAAAAGACAAGGAUGAUUUUAGUUGUGUUUUCCUUAUCCAUAUUGAAUUAUAUAUCAAUUGCUAUAUCGAUAUUAUCUUUUGGGGCCUAUAUCAAGCUUAAAAGAUGUUGAUUAUAUACAGCUAACACGAAGAAUAUUGAAAGUAUUGCAAGAAUGGUUAGUGGAAAAGUAUCUUGAUUUUGUGGAAUCAAUAUGGCCACAUUAUUUUCGGAUGAUCAGAUUUUUGAUGUCGUCUAAUCUUAUUCGAGUUUGAAUGCAUUCUUAAAGGUACUGUUCAGGAGAGUUAAAGGGAGUUUGAUUGGAGGCGGUAUUCUAUAGCAUAGAAAUUUUCCAUUGAGAUGUAGUCAAUCACAUUUUAUCCUCUGGGGUUUGAGCAAGUUAAUGAUAAUGAGGAAACAAGUUCCUAAUUCAUGUUAUCUUGAAUUGAUUUUAUUCUUAGAUUAGGUUGGAAUUGAUUUUAUCAUUGAAUGGUUGCUUAGUUUUCAAGGUUCUAUAUAAGAUUGACAGUCGACUCAUACAACUGAGUUUUAAAAAAUCAAUUGACACAAUGCAGGCUGCAUUGUAGUGCUUUCAACAAUGGAAACAUUAUCGUAAAAGUCUUUGGUCAGUCGGUGCGGUUAAGAAAGCAGUGAUACAUUGACGUUUAAAGAGAAAAGGCUUUCAUGCAAGAAGAUUACAUGAGGAUGAAGUUGGCACCCAAGCAAGCAAAGUUGUUAUUCUAUGCAAUAUCGAGAGCUGCGACCUCUGCUUCCAAUGCAUUCAGGUUCUCACUCUCUUUCUUCUUUCACUUUCAUGUUUUGUUAUUAGAUUUAGUAUGUACAAAUAUGGUUAUUUAAACAAUGGCUUCCCAAGUAUUUCAUAAAUGUGACUUAUAAGAAUUUAAAUUUAAUUGAGAAGUUCUCAUGAAUAGGUAAUUAAUUUAAGUUGGACCUAAUUUGAUGAUGUGUUUUUUGGAGUUUCACUUAGCAGAUUGGUUUUCACCUGGAACAAUGAAGAGAAAAAUGAAGAGGAUACAAGACCUACAAGGCAGCAUAGUUCCUUCAAGCUAAGUGGGAUCAAUUCCCAUUGAAUCUAACUUAUGUGUUGGUAACCUCUAGGGGUAUCUGGACUAUGUCAACAGAAAAGCAAAACUGAUAACAUCAGAGUAAGACUUCUUAAUAGUGUAAGUUCACAGGCAGGCUAAUGUUAGUCUCAAACUUUAUUUCUUUUUACACGAACACCACUUCUCAAAAACAAGGAACAAGAAAACUGCAGACUGCAUAAAUUCUUGAGAUUGAAUUGUGGCAUCGGAUACGCAACAAUCAUCAUCAGCAUCAUCAACAUCUUUAAAGGGUUUGAUGCAUUGGAGGUGUCUGCAGGGAACCGUUACGAUAACUGGAAGCACGCGUACACCGGCAUUAUUGCAGCAUUGGGGGACAUUGCGGUACUUUUAAAAGCUUACACAUGGAUCAUUGAGAUUGUAGUUGCACAUUAGAAUCUGAUAUUGAAGCUGCACAUGGAGCUCUAUGUAGCAUAAUUUGUACUCAGCCUAGAAGAAUAUCUGCUAUAUAUGUUUCUGAAAGAGUAGCGGCAUCCAUGAGCUAUUUUGUUAGCAUGCUUUUGGUUUAGAUUUUACAUUGUCAGUGGAGUAUACCUGAUAUAUAGUGGUGUGAAAAUUUUGAUCUCUUUUAUUUUCUCAUUAUUUGCUCUGUAAUGACUAUUUAUGCUCUACACGCCUGGAUCUGUUGGUUUUUCUCUAAAUUUGUAUGUAAUCAUUUCCUGCUUACUUUGCUGACAUUGUUUUUCAGUUUACGGUAGAACUUUUUAAUAACCACCAUUAUAGCUGCAGCGUGAAUUUUAACAAUAAUCCCCAACAUUGAAAAGAUGACUAUGAAUGGUGUCUUGAAAAAUAAUUUCUAGACAUUUUCUGAAAUACUACUAAUCUUCUAAAAUGCUUAUUGAGUAGGUUUAGUAUGUGUAAAUACUAAGUGUUAAUUGAAUAUAAUUGAAAUUCCAACAGGACAAUUGAAAUGUUUAGUUAUAUUACAUAUUACAAUUUGCUGAACUUAUAUCCUCAUCUUUGAAUU